rnacentral:rRNA from 1 species
UACGGAGGGGUGCAAACGUUGCUCGGAAUCAUUGGGCGUAAAGCGCACGUAGGCGGCCUGUUAAGUCGGGUGUGAAAGCCCUGGGCUCAACCCAGGAAGUGCACUCGAAAACUGGCAGGCUUGAACUAUGGAAGAGGGGUCGCGGAAUUCCCGGUGGUAGAGGUGGAAAUUCGUAGAUAUCGGGAGGAACACCAGUGGCGAAGGCGGCGACCUGGGGCCAAAUAU